GGCGGGCCGCCUCCCGGCGCCCCCGGACGAGCGGUGCCGUACCCGGACAGCGACAAGACGGCGCCUG
rnacentral:ncRNA from 1 species